rnacentral:rRNA from 1 species
UGGGGAAUAUUGCGCAAUGGGGGAAACCCUGACGCAGCAACGCCGCGUGAUCGAAGAAGGUCUUCGGAUUGUAAAGAUCUUUUAUCAGGGACGAAGAAAGUGACGGUACCUGAUGAAUAAGCUCCGGCUAACUACGUGCCAGCAGCCGCGGUAAUACGUAUGGUGCAAGCGUUAUCCGGAUUUACUGGGUGUAAAGGGAGCGCAGGCGGUGCGGCAAGUCUGAUGUGAAAGCCCGGGGCUCAACCCCGGUACUGCAUUGGAAACUGUCGUACUAGAGUGUCGGAGGGGUAAGUGGAAUUCCUAGUGUAGCGGUGAAAUGCGUAGAUAUUAGGAGGAACACCAGUGGCGAAGGCGGCUUACUGGACGAUAACUGACGCUGAGGCUCGAAAGCGUGGGGAGCAAACAGGAUUAGAUACCCUGGUAGU